rnacentral:rRNA from 1 species
AUUGAACGCUGGCGGCGGGCCUAACACAUGCAAGUCGAACGGUAGCACAGAGAGCUUGCUCUCGGGUGACGAGUGGCGGACGGGUGAGUAAUGUCUGGGAAACUGCCCGAUGGAGGGGGAUAACUACUGGAAACGGUAGCUAAUACCGCAUAACGUCGCAAGACCAAAGUGGGGGACCUUCGGGCCUCACACCAUCGGAUGUGCCCAGAUGGGAUUAGCUAGUAGGUGGGGUAAUGGCUCACCUAGGCGACGAUCCCUAGCUGGUCUGAGAGGAUGACCGACCACACUGGAACUGCGACACGGUCCAGACUCCUACGGGAGGCAGCAGUGGGGAAUAUUGCACAAUGGGCGCAAGCCUGAUGCAGCCAUGCCGCGUGUAUGAAGAAGGCCUUCGGGUUGUAAAGUACUUUCAGCGGGGAGGAAGGCGGUGGAGUUAAUAACUUCACCGAUUGACGUUACCCGCAGAAGAAGCACCGGCUAACUCCGUGCCAGCCGCCGCCGUAA